CGAGCGAAGCGGCAAGAGCUCAGAUUUGAAAUCGUGCUUUGCGGCACGAGUUGUAGAUUGCAGGUUGGAGUCUGUGUGGAAGGCGGUGUCCAAGUCCCUUGGAACAGGGCGCCCAGGAGGGUGAGAGCCCCGUGGGAUGCCGGCGGAAGCAGUGAGGCCCUUCUGACGAGUCGAGUUGUUUGGGAAUGCAGCUCCAAGCGGGUGGUAAAUUCCAUCUAAGGCUAAAUACUGGCGAGAGACCGAUAGCGAACAAGUACUGUGAAGGAAAGAUGAAAAGCACUUUGAAAAGAGAGUGAAACAGCACGUGAAAUUGUUGAAAGGGAAGGGUAUUGCGCCCGACAUGGGAGAUUGCGCACCGCUGCCUCUCGUGGGCGGCGCUCUGGGCUUUCCCUGGGCCAGCAUCGGUUCUUGCUGCAGGAGAAGGGGUUCUGGAACGUGGCUCUUCGGAGUGUUAUAGCCAGGGCCAGAUGCUGCGUGCGGGGACCGAGGACUGCG
rnacentral:rRNA from 1 species